GGGGAUGCAGUUGCUCCUGCUGGAGUAGCAGCUUGGCCCUGCUCUGCAGCAGCUGGCACAUUCGCCACUUGUGCUAGAGGCUGUUCGCCCUAUCCAACCAAUGAAAACAGUAAAUCAGAAACACAAAAUGUUUAAACUAAUGUUGUAAUUCAGGUAGGAAUGGUGUGUUAGACUUACAAGGCAGAUCUGUGAGUUUUCAAGUUUGGUGGAUGGAUGGUCUUCAUCCAAGUACUUAUGCCCAUUUCAUGUUAUCCAGGAAAAAGCGGAAAAUCAACUUAAGAAACUACGUCAAAACCUUGGUUUCAGGGGCCAAGGAGCAGCAAUAGCUCUUCAUCGAAGCCGGAAUCCAAAACUAAAGACAAGUGUGCUGUAAUGUAGAGAAAGCAUUUGUAUAUGAUGUAUUUCCCUCCCAUUUUUGGCCAAUUUGUUGUAAUACAUGAUAAGAACAUCACCUAAGCAAUCAUCAUUUGUGUGAAUUUCCAAUCA